AACGAACGCUGGCGGCAGGCUUAACACAUGCAAGUCGAACGGACGUAGCAAUACGUUAGUGGCAGACGGGUGAGUAACGCGUGGGAAUGUGCCCUUUAGUUCGGAAUAACACAGAGAAAUUUGUGCUAAUACCGGAUAAGCCCGAGAAGGGAAAGAUUUAUCGCUGAAGGAGCAGCCCGCGUCUGAUUAGCUAGUUGGUGAGGUAAUGGCUCACCAAGGCGACGAUCAGUAGCUGGUCUGAGAGGAUGAUCAGCCACACUGGGACUGAGACACGGCCCAGACUCCUACGGGAGGCAGCAGUGGGGAAUAUUGGACAAUGGGGGCAACCCUGAUCCAGCCAUGCCGCGUGAGUGAUGAAGGCCUUAGGGUUGUAAAACUCUUUUGUCCGGGAAGAUAAUGACUGUACCGGAAGAAUAAGCCCCGGCUAACUUCGUGCCAGCCGCCGCAGUAA
rnacentral:rRNA from 1 species